CAUUAUUUAUAACAUUGAUUUUUUAAAUUUUCAAGCGUUUUAAAGUAAACUUCUGGAAACGUUCUUAUCAGCUUAUUGCGCGCCAAUUUUAUUGCUACGGAUUCGCUGUGUCUCUCAUACACUUAAAUACUGACGAAUGGCUGCCUCUCUCGCACUCAUUGAGACUGACCGCGGACAGUUCUGGUGUCGCCUCUAUUCCACAGUUACAUACCAAAUUAUAACCUCAACUAGUUCCGACCACGUGUUUUGUGAGGCCGGAUUGUGGUCGAAUACACUGUUUUUUGCAUAAUCCAUAGAAAAUGGAGAAAAGUUAUAGACUUUAUUUAAAAAAUUUACCUUAUGAAGUAAACGAGAAUGAAGUUAAGAGUCUCUUUGAAGAUUAUGGAACUGUUGUAAAUGUGGAUAUAAAGGAGAAAAAAGAUGUUGAAGAAAAUUGUGAAAGCAAAUUUGCCUUUGUUGUGAUACUAGCCACUGAUAAGAAUCUAAAUGCUUGUUUUAAACAUGUAAACACAGUUACAUUGAAUGGCAGAAGCUUGUCUGUUGUCAUUGCUAAAGAAAGUUUCCUUGAACGUCUCAAAAGAGAACGACAAGAAGCUGCUGUGUCAAAAUCUAAAGAGACAAGCAACACAUUGAAUAGUGUACCUCUUGAAAUCGCUCCCAUCAAAUUGAAAAUCAAUCCUGUGAAAACUCCUACUAGUAUUAAAAUACAGAAUGAUCAUGUUUCUAGUAGUUUUAAAAAAAGGAAGAAUAAUGAGGAAGAAGUAAAGGAUAUAUGCAUUGACCCUAUGAAUCAAGAUUGGGAAGAUGAUAUGAACUGGAAAGAAAAACAUUCCAAGAUUGAUAUUAAAUCACCAGAGAAAAAUAAUGUAAAUCAUGUAUUUAUAGACGUUCCUAAGAAAGAAAUGACCAUCUCUGAGAAAAAAAGAAUACAAUCGUUGAAGGAGAAGAAAUUAAUUUUCAAAGCUAAAGAGCAAAUGAUUCGAGAUGCAUUGAAAUCUGUGGAUAAAGCCCAAAAUAAAAAAAUCGUUUUCGAGGAUGACGUAGGCCAAGAGGAUGAUGCAAAGAAAAAUGGAAAAGAUAGAAAAUUAUUGUUUGAUGAUGCUGAAGAUGUUGAAGCUAACUGGGAUGAAAAUCAAUUUGAGAUUAAAAAUAAAACAAAGGAAAAGUUAUCGAUGUUACAAGCAAAAUUGGGACACGACAAACGUUUUACUCUUGAUGAGCGUUUUAUCGAUGAUGAUGAGGUAACACACGAAUCUGAAUUACAAGAAAAAGUAGAGUCUAGUUUGGAGGAUGAGAAAAAAUGGCAACUAGAUAUACUACAAAAUGUUUUAGGAAAGCCAAUUAAAUCUCGAACAGAAAGCAAUGCUCCAACAAAUUUAAAAAGAAAGGGUCAAAUGAUACGAUAUGACCCAACUGAAAACAAUCAUUAUAAAUAUGAAGUUCCAAUUGAAACCUCUGUGCCAAAGAAAUCAGAAAAAAAGAAACGAAAAAUCAGUGUUACUGAGAAUGAAGAACCAGCUGUUCCUGUAUCGAAGGAUGUAUUCUACAAUGUAUCUGAUAGACUGGCUGACAGCUUAAAACAAGAUAAUGAAUUUAGUUUAUUAAAAACUUUUGCUAGAGAACCAACCAACACAGUAAAUGAACCUGAAGCAGAAUCCUACAGCAAGUCAAACUUUCAAUUUGAUUUUAACAAAAUGAAUCCAUUUAAAUAUGAUUCAUCCGACAACGAAGAUCACGGUGAUGAUAAUCAAGAAACAUCAACCGGUGAUAAUGAAAAAAUAAAUUCAAAGAUUUCGCAUGGAUGGAAUGAUCGAUUUUUCUUUGCGAUCGAUGAUGUUCGCUUUCAUGAUACCGACAAAUUUUUCAACAAAGAAGCAGCUCCUCGCAAAGAGUUUGAGAAUCUUAGGCGUGAAUUAAAACAAAUAGUACGUACAAAGAUACGUAAUAAUACAAAGAAAACUACCUCCUGGACUAAAAGGAAAACAAAGAAAUAAAAGUGUGGUUUCCGUGACCAUGGUCCCACUCCGAUGGCACGCACGUAUUUGCAAGUAUGUCCAGUGAGCGGUGGUUCCCCGGGUUCGAUUAAUGGGGCUAAUUCUUAGAAAUACAUGCAUAAAUGUUUUAUAUAUCAUUAUUGAAUCAUAUAUAAAGAAGAACCAACAGGCAAAAUGUUAUCCAUUACUCCAAGAUCCUCGAGCGUGAAGAUACACGUGAGAAACAACAGAAACAAAGAUGAAGAAGUUUGUUGCUUUGCUGGCGAUUGUCGCAAUUUAUGCAAUGGUUGUCUCAGCCGAACCUGCGCGUCCAGGAAGUCAGUAUACAACGAAACGACCAGUUCAGCCCAUCCGGCCUGUCAACAAGCCCACACCUCACCCGCGUAUCCGCCGUGAAGCAUCUGAAGACGGAAACCGCAAACCUGCAUCGGCACCAGGUCGAAAAAUAAAGCCCCUAAUUUCCUUGACUGAAGAUGAAUAUCGCAGAAUAAAUGGUUUACCUCCAAAGCCUAAGGUGGCUGCUGUUCAUCAUUGAAACACGUUAUUGAAUAAGACUACAAAAUUAACGUGUUAUAUUUUGAAUGCCCCUAAUAAAUAUUUAACCAAACGCUAAUAAUUUACUAUUAGUACACCUAGCAUAUCUUGGAAAACUCAAAUACAUACUUUUUAACUGUCAAUUGUUUUUAGCAAUACUGGAUGUCUUUUAAAAUUGUUUAAAUCAACCUGUAAAUCCAACUUAUAUGUCAUAUAUUUUAUUUAUAUCAGCAUUUGUUUUAACGAAAAUCUUGUGAUCUAUGUGGGACUGUUUUAUGAAUUGUGCGUGUGGAAUAGACGCGAAGGAAUAAUUAAACAAUAAUAAUAAAUAAUAAAAAAUAAUAAAGUAAUUUUAA